UUUUAUAACUCUGUCCUGGGUAAAGUCCAUCACAUUAGUAUGUGUAAUUUACCUGCUCUGUUCGACAAUAUAGGACUCAAACUUGUUCUAACUUUCUACAACUGCAAGAUCGCAGCUCCGAAGAGCAGGAGGAAACUGCAUCCUCAGAUUUUGAAAGCACAUCUGACCAAACACAACUGAAGUAUGCUGCUCCCUUCAGAAGCCAUUACAGAAGAUCGUGACAGCGAUUUCUUAAAGAAAAUGGCUUCCAAACAUUCUCUCCAAGAAAAGGAUUUCUCCUGUCCAGUGUGCAGUAAUCUUCCGGGAUCCUGUAAUCCUGUCAUGUAGCCACAGCUUUUGUAAAGUCUGUCUCAGUGAAAUCUGGAAACAAAAGGAUUCUCUGGAAUGUCCAAUUUGCAGCAGAAUGUCCUCAAAGGAAGAACCUCCUCGUAACCUAAUUGUAAAGGAACUGUGUGAGGCCUUCUUAGAGGAGAAGAAUCGGAGAGAAUCAGCAGGGCCUGAGGGGCUCUGCUUUCUGCACCACGAUAAACUCAAACUCUUCUGUCUGAAUGAUAAACAGCCAGUGUGUUUUGUGUGUCAUACUUCUAAAAAAAAACAUGCAAACCACAAUUUCUGUCCCAUGGAUGAAGCUUCACAGGAUUUGAAGGAGGAACUCAAGACUUUAUUGAAGCCCUUACAGAAGAAGUUUGAGAUCUUCCAUAAAGUGAAACUAGCCUGCCAUCAAACAGUAACCCAGAUUAAAGCUACAAGCAGAGGACACAGAAAGGCAGAUUAAAGGGGAGUUUGAGAAGAUACACCAGGUGCUUCGAGAGGACGAGGAGGCCAGGUUAGCUACUCUGAAGGAAGAAGAGAAGCAGAAGAGUCACUUGAUGAAGAAGAAGAUUGAUGAGAUGAUCGGAGGGUUAUCAUCACUUUCAGACACAAUCAAAGCAAUGGAGGAGGAGUUGAAAGCAGAAGAUAUCUCAUUCCUUCAGAACUACAAGGUCACAGUGAAAAGGUAAGUGACCCGCCUCUUCACUCUCUCUUCUCUGAGGUUCUUAACCUAAGGGUGCCAAGGAUGUUCUUAACCCAACCCCACAGUUGAACUAACUCCUGAAUAUUCUUCCAGAGCCCAGUGCACACUGCCGGAUCCAGAGAGGGUUUCAGGAGCAUGGAUCCAUGUGGCCAAGCACCUUGACAACCUGCACAGAUUUUGUGGGAAGAUGCAGGACAUUGUUGAAGUGUUUGCUCACUAUACUGCCGUGACUCUGGAUCCCAAGACUGCCCACCCAUCUCUCAUCUUGUCUGAUGAUCUGACCACUGUGAGACUUGGUGAUGGGAUGCAGAAGCAUCCUGUCAACCCAGAGAGGUUUCAUAACAAUAGAAUGGUCCUGGGCUCUGACGGCUUUAACUCAGGGACACACAUCUGGGAUGUUGAGGUUGGGAACAGUGUAGACUGGACCCUGGGUGUGGUUACAGAGACUGUCCGGAGGAAGGGAGGAAUACGCAGUGGACUCUAGGGUCUAAAUUAUAAAUCAGGUGAAUACAGGGCAUAUUCCCUACCCAAAUCAACCAUUCCCUUCACGUUGGGCCAGAGACCCAAGAGGAUCCGAGUGCAGCUGGACUGGGAAAGAGGAAAGCUGUCAUUCUAUGACCCUUUAAAUAACUCACACCUACACACAUUCACACACACUUUCGCUGAGAGAGUUUUUCCCUGCCUUGGUAAUCGAUGUAAACACCAGCCUCUAAAGACCUUGCCAUGGUCUCUGUAACAGUGGAACAACAUAGUUAGAGCUGAUAGGCCUCUUGUCUAGGAACAGCACAGUUAGAGCUGAUAAGGAAGAUAUAAUGUCUCAUAUCACAACUUUAAAGGUGAAAUAUGUAACCUAUUGGGCGACCUGACCAACUUCACAUAGAAUGGUAAGUGUUAGAUCUGCAAUUCUCAUUGAAAGAAAGUCUAAGAAGCGGAAGAGCUGUUCUUUGUGCGCUACUUCUAUGCUUCCCGUUCCUAAGUUUAGUUUUUGUAUAUUUUACUUUCGGUCUUGCACACCAACUUCAAACAGCUGAAAACACAAUCUUUUUGGUUAUGAAAAGAUAUUUCACAGCGGUUGAGAUGGUACAAUUAUUCUCUACACUGUACAUUGCUUGUUUUGUCACAUAAACUGAAAUUAUGUGAAAUAUUCGAAUUUUGGCAACUAGGAAAUGGGAGAGCGAUUUCUGCGCCUUUAAAUCGAGCACCUACUGAUAUUAUAAAGACUUGACUGAUUUGAACUUAAUGCUUAAACUGUUGAUAAAGCACGAGAGUAAAACUGACACCUAGUCCAAAUGUAGUCGAGUAUAAUCAUGUUUCUUAUUUGUAUUAUGUAAGAUUGAUUUGUUAAUUAUUUGCUCUUAUUGCCUUAAGUAUAUGACCAAUUGCAUGGAAACACAAAGCCACACUGUAACUGUCAUUCCCUAUUACAUGAUUCAACCAAAUACAUUCUAUUGUUUAGUUUUGUUUGGUCUAUGAGAGUGGAAUAAACACAGUUAAAGUUGCUGCUGUUUUACCAUAACGUUACAUUCCCCCACUAGCCUAACCCACUUCCACGAUUUCAUCUUCUCAAAACUAGUAUAGCAUACUUUUCGACACAAGGUUUCUUCAGAAAUAUGUGCUUUUCCAGUUUAGACCGGUGGUGGUAGGAAAGUCUACAGCUUGCAGAGGGAGAUAGAGAGUCACUGGCCAGGGUCAGGCAAGGGUCACUAAUAACUCUCAAUUAGAGAGGAAUAUUCAGUAAAUAAAGAAUAGUUGGCUAAACCUAACUGUGCUUAAUUCAAGGAUGUUGCAUUGGAAUGUCCCAAAGUUUAAUUUCCACCUCUGAUGUGUUUGUAUAUGGCAAGUGAUAAGUCAUCAAGACAUAAAAUACUAAACAAUACAUGGGACUGGCUUUGUAGAACUGUGAAUUCUGUCCUGGGUAAAGGCUCUCACACUGUAGAAUUCAGCUUGUAUUAGCUGCAGGUGUAAUUUACCUGCUGUGUUCGACAUUGGAUACGAUAUAGGAAUCAAAGUUAUUCUAACUUUUUUUUAUGACUACAUGAUAGCAACUCCUAAGAGAAAGAUAAAACUGCAUCAAUAUGAGAUUUGAAAGCACACCUGGCUAAACAAGACUGAAGUAUACUGCUCCCUUCAGACACAGUCAGAGCCGUAGAGGAGCUGAAAGCAGAAGGGAUCCCAUUCUGGCAGGUAAGAACCAACAGUUCUGUGACAAGAAGAUAUUAUUUGAGAUACAUUUAUCGAUGAACUGAUUUCAUCUCAUGUAUUAUGAGGAUAUAUUACUCAGUUGGUCUUUGUGCUCCUACAGAACUAUAGUCCUUUAAUUCAUUGCCACUUACUCAGCUGGGCCAGGGGCGCAUUAAUUAGGUCAGGUGGAAAUGUCCGACAGAUCUCAACUCCAUAAAAGGAGGAAAUUGCCAUCGCCUGAUCUCACUGCUUUCUCUUCCUUAACUCCGUCUGAUCAAGAAGUUUUGUGCGUCCAUGAAUCCACCGACUCUGUUACCUUUCAUCUGAACUAUCUGUGGCGAUCGGGGGAGUGGGCCAUCAGUUAUUGCUUAUAGUUAUUACCGCGUAGCGCGGCUUGGAGCGCACGCUUCAAACAUAUUGUGUAAUGUGAAUUGUCAAUGAUCAUGGCCCUACGGAUCCUCGUAGGCCAAUUAUGCAAUCGAUAUGGUUAAUAUGUAAUGAAAUUAAUUAUAUGUACACAUGAAGACAAUUGAAAGGGUGAAAUGAGAAACGUCAUUGUUUGCUGAACUGAUCGACUUUGAUAUCAAACUAAUGGGCACUAUAGAUUGAAUAACCAUUCACUGUUUGUAUUAUUUCAUGAUUUAUGAUAAAUAGUUACGAGCCUAAAUGACUUACGGAUGAUUACUAUUGACUUCUUAAUGAACUGGACUGUUGAAUUCCCUAAAUUAUGUUAAUAAUGAAUAUGAAUUGAUCGUUGAUUAUGAAUUUGAUUGGAUACAUGUUAUUUUGUUUCCUUUAUUAUGCAGCACAGACUACUCAGUAAAUAUACCACUUUAUGGUUAAAGGAAAUCCUGCCUCAGUCUCAUCCAUUCCUCUGUCACCUGACAAGUGACCACCUGUUCACCUUCACUGUCAGUCAUCCUACCUGUCCAGCUACCCACACAGAUUCCACUAAUCUUUCACCUACAGUGAAAGCAAGAGCCCAGUGCACACUGCUGGAUCCAGAGAGAGUUUCAGGAGCACUGAUCCAUGUGGCCAAGCACCUUGACAACCUGAUUCUGUGGGAAAAGUGUGUGUUUGCUCAAUACAUGAUUUCACCCACACACCGCUACUGUUCUGGACUCCAAGACUGGCCACCCAUCUCUGAAUUUGUCUUAGGAUUUGACCAGUGUGAGACUUGGGCAUGGGACAUAUCAGCUUCUU